GGGGUGUUUCCAGGCAAAGAGGGGAAUGGUUGAGGCAAUGAGAAUGCUUCAUUGAUCCUGACCCUUGAGACUGGCAGUGGGCUUCAGUCCAACCAGGCUCUGCCCAGCUUGGUACCAUUUGUGUGGGGAAUGAUGAAAUCAUUGUGUGGUGACUCAGCUGUUUAGAAGGCCUUAUCACAUUCUACACUGGAAAUGCCACAGUCUCCUUGUAAGGAGGGGAUGUUCUGGGUUGGUGUCUCCGGGCAGGAGGCCGCUGAGGGGUGAGGAGGGCAGGGCAUGGGACCCUGUCCCUUGGGCACCAGUGUCGGAAAUCAGUUGGGGCAAAUCCUCCUUGUGGGAGUGGAGGCCCCCUGGGGAUUUGCCAGGCCUGUGCCAAAGCUGACCGGGGAGUCUUGGGUUAAGGGUGCCCAGGGGGGUGCAUGGGUUAGAGCAGUGGACCAGCCUGGGAAGUAGCGAGGCUGGGUGGGGCAGGGGCAGAGGGCGGUCUGGGACGGGGAGAGCCACUGGAGGUGACCACAGCCAGGUGCGCACUUGGGAGCCCGGGGUGGGUGGGAAAGCAGGUCACUGCCGGCCGGGAGGUGUGGGAGGCCUGGGUGCGUCCCAGAGGACAGGAGCCUGGGAUGGCACGUCCACAGAGGGUGAGGCUGCUGUGCCCUUCAGCCACUGUGUGGUGGGGCACCCCUGGGAGAGGAACAAGGACCCAGAGUGGAGCCUAGGAGCUUGGGAGGCCUGAACUGUGUCAAUGUCAUUGAGGUCUUGAGCUUAGGAGUACUCCAAGUGCGGUUGUUGGGGUGAUGACACUCCCCACAGUGCAAAGGUCACCCUCUGCGAGUCCUGCUUGUCGUCUGGCACCAACUCACCUGACAUUCGCCUGUGAUGGAACAACUUCCUUUUGGAAGUCGGGAUUCUCUAUCAUUGUUAUUAAGCCUCUUCCAAAUCUCUCUGCAUGUAAUAAAAAGUAAAAAUAUAUAAAUAAAUGGGUAACAUUUUC